UACGUAGGGGGCAAGCGUUAUCCGGAUUUACUGGGUGUAAAGGGAGCGUAGACGGCCAUUCAAGCCAGAUGUGAAAGCCCGGGGCUCAACCCCGGGACUGCAUUUGGAACUGUAUGGCUGGAGUGUCGGAGAGGCAGGCGGAAUUCCUAGUGUAGCGGUGAAAUGCGUAGGUAUUAGGAGGAACACCAGUGGCGAAGGCGGCCUGCUGGACGAUGACUGACGUUGAGGCUCGAAAGCGUGGGGAGCAAACAGG
rnacentral:rRNA from 1 species